rnacentral:rRNA from 1 species
AUUGAACGCUGGCGGCAGGCCUAACACAUGCAAGUCGAGCGGAUGAGAGGAGCUUGCUCCUCGAUUCAGCGGCGGACGGGUGAGUAAUGCCUAGGAAUCUGCCCAGUAGUGGGGGACAACGUUUCGAAAGGAACGCUAAUACCGCAUACGUCCUACGGGAGAAAGUGGGGGAUCUUCGGACCUCACGCUAUUGGAUGAGCCUAGGUCGGAUUAGCUAGUUGGUAGGGUAAAGGCCUACCAAGGCGACGAUCCGUAACUGGUCUGAGAGGAUGAUCAGUUCCACUGGAACGGGGACACGGUCCAGACUCCUACGGGAGGCAGCAUUGGGGAAUAUUGGACAAUGGGCGCGAGCCUGAUCCAGCCAUGCCGCGUGUGUGAAGAAGGCCCUCGGGUCGUAAAGCACUUUAAGUUGGGAGGAAGGGCUUACAGCGAAUACCUGUGAGUUUUGACGUUACCGACAGAAUAAGCACCGGCUAACUUCGUGCCAGCCGCCGCAGUAA